UGGGGAAUAUUGGACAAUGGGCGAAAGCCUGAUCCAGCCAUGCCGCGUGUGUGAAGAAGGUCUUCGGAUUGUAAAGCACUUUAAGUUGGGAGGAAGGGCAUUAACCUAAUACGUUAGUGUUUUGACGUUACCGACAGAAUAAGCACCGGCUAACUCUGUGCCAGCAGCCGCGGUAAUACAGAGGGUGCAAGCGUUAAUCGGAAUUACUGGGCGUAAAGCGCGCGUAGGUGGUUUGUUAAGUUGGAUGUGAAAUCCCCGGGCGCAACCUGGGAACUGCAUUCAAAACUGGCUGACUAGAGUAUGGUAGAGGGUGGUGGAAUUUCCUGUGUAGCGGUGAAAUGCGUAGAUAUAGGAAGGAACACCAGUGGCGAAGGCGACCACCUGGACUAAUACUGACACUGAGGUGCGAAAGCGUGGGGAGCAAACA
rnacentral:rRNA from 1 species